rnacentral:rRNA from 1 species
CCCUUAGAUGUCCUGGGCUGCACGCGCGCUACACUGAUGUGUCCAGUAAGCACCUAACCUAUUCCGAGAGGAGCGGGUAACCUUAGCAAAGCACAUCGUGAUGGGGAUAGAUUAUUGCAAUUAUUAGUCUUGAACGAGGAAUUCCUAGUAAGCACAAGUCAUCAGCUUGUGUUGAUUACGUCCCUGCCCUUUGUACACACCGCCCGUCGCUCCUACCGAUUGAAUGUUCCGGUGAGUUCUUCGGACUGCGCGGUCUGCAGUUUCUGCGUUCCGUGCGGAAAGUUGUGCAAACCUUAACAUUUAGAGGAAGGAGAAGUCGUAACA